rnacentral:rRNA from 1 species
GACGAACGCUGGCGGCGUGCUUAACACAUGCAAGUCGAACGGAAAGGCCCUGCUUUUGUGGGGUGCUCGAGUGGCGAACGGGUGAGUAACACGUGAGUAACCUGCCCUUGACUUUGGGAUAACUUCAGGAAACUGGGGCUAAUACCGGAUAGGAGCUCCUGCUGCAUGGUGGGGGUUGGAAAGUUUCGGCGGUUGGGGAUGGACUCGCGGCUUAUCAGCUUGUUGGUGGGGUAGUGGCUUACCAAGGCUUUGACGGGUAGCCGGCCUGAGAGGGUGACCGGCCACAUUGGGACUGAGAUACGGCCCAGACUCCUACGGGAGGCAGCAGUGGGGAAUAUUGCACAGUGGGCGGAAGCCUGAUGCAGCAACGCCGCGUGCGGGAUGACGGCCUUCGGGUUGUAAAACGCUUUCGCCUGUGACGAAGCGUGAGUGACGGUAAUGGGUAAAGAAGCACCGGCUAACUACGUG